rnacentral:tRNA from 1 species
UGGAAAAUGGUGUAACUGGUAACACAAGAGGCUUUGAACCUCUAAUUCUUAGUUCGAAUCUGAGUUUUCCAGCCA